rnacentral:rRNA from 1 species
GGUCCCUACGGGGGGCAGCAGUGGGGAAUAUUGCACAAUGGGGGAAACCCUGAUGCAGCAACGCCGCGUGAGUGAAGAAGUAUUUCGGUAUGUAAAGCUCUAUCAGCAGGGAAGAAAAUGACGGUACCUGAGUAAGAAGCCCCGGCUAACUACGUGCCAGCAGCCGCGGUAAUACGUAGGGGGCAAGCGUUAUCCGGAUUUACUGGGUGUAAAGGGAGCGUAGACGGCGAUGCAAGUCUGAAGUGAAAGCCCGGGGCUCAACC